CGUCAGGUUGCUCAAUUGGUGAGAGCGUCAGGCUAAUAUCCUGGAGAUUGUAGGUUCAAUCCCUACCCCGGCGA